rnacentral:rRNA from 1 species
AGUGAACGCUGGCGGUAGGCCUAACACAUGCGAGUCGAACGGCAGCACAGUAAGAGCUUGCUCUUACGGGUGGCGAGUGGCGGACGGGUGAGGAAUACAUCGGAAUCUACUUUUUCGUGGGGGAUAACGUAGGGAAACUUACGCUAAUACCGCAUACGACCUACGGGUGAAAGCAGGGGACCUUCGGACCUUGCGCGAUUGAAUGAGCCGAUGUCGGAUUAGCUAGUUGGCGGGGUAAAGGCCCACCAAGGCGACGAUCCGUAGCUGGUCUGAGAGGAUGAUCAGCCACACUGGAACUGAGACACGGUCCAGACUCCUACGGGAGGCAGCAGUGGGGAAUAUUGGACAAUGGGCGCAAGCCUGAUCCGGCCAUACCGCGUGGGUGAAGAAGGCCUUCGGGUUGUAAAGCCCUUUUGUUGGGAAAGAAAAGCAGCAGGUUAAUACCCCGCUGUUCUGACGGUACCCAAAGAAUAAGCACCGGCUAACUUCGUG